AAUUCUAACGUCUAUGACACUUAGACUUCAGCGACUAUUGACUUUAGAUUAUAAUAAGUACUAUAUAGUACUCUAUACUAGUAUCCUGAGUAUUUGAGAAUACAUCACUACAUCAGACAUAGGUUUAUUUAGUUAUUCUAAACCACCCUGUUAACUCAUCUCGGUAGUCGUACUCUUUAAAGUACCUAGAUGAAACUUAAAAAGAAAGGGGAUUCGAAUUCGAAAAUGCGUUGACAACGUUUACAGAAUACAGUGUUGCCGUCACACCGGUGUUUUAAGCAAAAUUGAAAAUAAUAAAAAUCGAUGGGAGUUAUCAAAUUGUUGUUAAGUAACCUUUCUGUUAUCAAACAAUGUUUAUUAAAUAACUAAUAAUAACGUUUUAAAUAAGAUUAUAUUACGCUACUUAUGAAUGAGUGAUAAUUACUACACACAGUUUCAAUCAUUUUUUUUUACGUCAAUAAAUAGACUAUAUAUCUGACCUUGCUCAUUGUACAGCUUCAUUUCGGAACUACCUAUCGAAAAUUAUUCAAUGGUCUUUGCGUCAGCGUUUCCAUUGCCAAAUUCAAUUACAUGUCGAUCGUGUUGUUCUUGUUGGGGCUCUAACGAUAAUUUGUUGUUACCAAAUUAGUGAUUUUCAUUUUUGAUUACAAUCUACAUAGUAUCUGCAGACUGCAGCAUACCUACUGUAGGUUUCCUAUUUGCUCAUUUGAUUACAUUACGUAUAUUUUUUUGCGUAGAUACCUAACAGCUUUUUAUAUAUCAGUAUAAUUAUAUCUACUUAAAUAAGUGCAUAAUAUAUUAUUUAUAUAUUAUUUAUGUUUGUUAUUAUUACAGUUAGUAGUGACUAGUGACAAUCAUUGUACAGUAAUACAAUCGUAUAGUGACGAGCUUUUAUUCAUUAUAUUUUGUAUUUAGUAAAAUCAUAACGGAAAAAUAGUAAAAAUUUAAAGAAGGAUAUGAAGUGUUAUUUUAGUGAAUCUGUGUUCUGUUUGUAAUAUUUUGUUUGGAAAAAGUCCUUUCAUAAUAUUAACAACCAUUAUUUACAACUUGUUAUGUAAAUAUUGUGUUCGUCAUAAUUUGUUAAAUUGUUGUUGAUAUUCGUUAUCUAGUUAAUAAGUUAAUAAUACUAUCAAAGAGUUGUGGGUACCUAAUGAAUUUGAUAAAGUGUGUAAACAAAACAUACUAAUAUCUUAUCAUUAAUUAAUUAUCACUAUUCAGACGAUUUAUGAACACCAAAUUGUUCAUGGUUAAGAUCAGGAUUAAAUAUUAUAUGUUGUAGAUCUCUACGUAAUCUUGUUUAUAUUGUAUUGUGUAUAGUAUGAUAUAUAUAUAUCUGUUUGUGGUUAUUACAAAUUUUAACUGUUAGCAAUAUGCCUUCCCCAAUUAUUAUUAUAAUUGUUAUAAUUAUUAUUACUAUUAUUUUUAUUUGUUGUAAGUAAUAUUUGAAUUGAUACAUAAUUCAAUAAUUGUUACAAAUUCUACAAUACCAACCCUAUUAAUAGUUAAACAGAUGUUAGGUUUUUAAAAUUGUUACUACCUAUGAUUAGUGAUAAACACAAAUCAUUUUUUAACUCAAAUGUUUAACUGUAUUCAGCAGUGGUGUAAUUGUGGAGAAAUGGAAGGCCAAAAAAAAAUGUAUGUUCAACAACUACCUCCAAAAAAAAAGAAAAAAAUUCAUUACUUUUUUAUGUACAUCGUGGAUAUGAAAAUUCCAUAACAGAUAAGUUAUGAAGUUA